rnacentral:rRNA from 1 species
GGGAUAACAGUCAGAAAUGACUGCUAAUACCGCAUAAGACCACAGCACCGCAUGGUGCAGGGGUAAAAACUCCGGUGGUACAGGAUGGACCCGCGUCUGAUUAGCUGGUUGGUGAGGUAACGGCUCACCAAGGCGACGAUCAGUAGCCGGCUUGAGAGAGUGAACGGCCACAUUGGGACUGAGACACGGCCCAAACUCCUACGGGAGGCAGCAGUGGGGAAUAUUGCACAAUGGGGGAAACCCUGAUGCAGCGACGCCGCGUGAGUGAAGAAGUAUUUCGGUAUGUAAAGCUCUAUCAGCAGGGAAGAAAAUGACGGUACCUGACUAAGAAGCCCCGGCUAACUACGUGCCAGCAGCCGCGGUAAUACGUAGGGGGCAAGCGUUAUCCGGAAUUACUGGGUGUAAAGGGUGCGUAGGUGGUAUGGCAAGUCAGAAGUGAAAACCCAGGGCUUAACUCUGGGACUGCUUUUGAAACUGUCAGACUGGAGUGCAGGAGAGGUAAGCGGAAUUCCUAGUGUAGCGGUGAAAUGCGUAGAUAUUAGGAGGAACAUCAGUGGCGAAGGCGGCUUACUGGACUGAAACUGACACUGAGGCACGAAAGCGUGGGGAGCAAACAGGAUUAGAUACCCUGGUAGUCCACGCCGUAA